UACGGAGGGUGCAAGCGUUAUCCGGAUUUACUGGGUUUAAAGGGUGCGUAGGUGGGUUGGCAAGUCAGUGGUGAAAUACUUUCGCUUAACGAAGGAACUGCCAUUGAUACUAUCGGUCUUGAAUACAGUGGAGGUAGGCGGAAUGCGUCAUGUAGCGGUGAAAUGCUUAGAUAUGACGCAGAACACCAAUUGCGAAGGCAGCUUGCUACACUGUUAUUGACACUGAGGCACGAAAGCGUGGGGAUCAAACAGG
rnacentral:rRNA from 1 species